CUAAUUUAAAGCGUUGAAAAUACAACAAUCAGCAGUUGUGGUUGAUAAGGGUCACAGAUUACUCACAAAGUAAAGAAGAAAGAAUGCGGCUUCAGUCACACAUCUCGCGAAGACGACAAAUACGCAAAGACCAUUGAAAAAUAAAGAGAAAAAUUCUUUUAAUCGAAUUAGCAAUCAAUGGAUUUGACCAAAAUUUAGAUGUUGACAGUCGACAGCGAGCCAAGUAUACAUCAAUUUUUAUGAAAUCACCGUCUAUUAUAGCUGUACAUAUUAGUCAUUAUUAUUGGGUGUGACUGAGUAACAUAAAAACUUGUUGUGCAAUCA